ACCGGGAAGAGCUCAGCGCAUAAGCUGGCGUCGGGAAAUCCUGGCGCUAGCGGUGUUGCGUUUCAGAGGGUCCGGCACGCAAUCUCUCGCCGCCUAAGUUAUGCUUGAAAGCAGCCACUACCCAUGGAGGGUGACAGGCCCGUUUGGCGGAUACUCGCGAGGGUGAUGGAGAGAUUGUCGGAAAGGGCCUCUCUGUAGAGUCGGGUUGCUUGAGAAUGCAGCCCUAAGCAGGUGGUAAACUCCAUCUAAGGCUAAAUAUGACCACGAGACCGAUAGCGAACAAGUACCGUGAGGGAAAGUUGAAAAGAACUUUGAAGAGAGAGUUCAAGAGUACGUGAAACCGUUAAGAGUCAAACGGGUGGGACCUCGAAGGUUGCUCCGAGACGAUUCAGGCCGUCGGCGUCGGCAUUGGCGCGGACCUCAUCACUGUGCUCAGGUGACUUUCUGAGCUUUGCGGUGAUGUUGCUGCCCGCGCCGCUUGCUGGCGUUGGCGGGCGUAAUUCCUCUACGGAUGCUAAAAUCGCCGCGACCCGUUGCUGGGGAUGUCUACGGCCCGUUUGGACUGGUACCCUGACGUGCUUAUGAGGCCUAACGAAAGGACGAAUCUGCCACGAAAGGGGAAACCUACGGUGUCCCGGCAACCCCGCGACGGUCGUGCAGCAGAGGGGGUGCGUAACCCGCGCCUCCUCUCGCGGCGUGCAAAAGGUCGGUGACCCACCCGACCCGUCUUGAAACACGGACCAAGGAGUCUAACAUGUGUGCGAGUCAUUGGGCGCACUAAACCCAAAGGCGCAAUGAAAGUAAAAUCAUAGGUGAGAAGUUGUUUCGACUCGCCGCCGUUGCUAUAUCUGCUGUUGGUCGUCGCCGCUGCCUGUAUUGGCGGAGGGUGGCGACAUGCGGAGGUGGCGCGGCGGAGUAUCAGAGUCGCCUUCUCACCUGUGGGCUGAUCCUUGACAGUGGCGUGUCAGGAGGUGGGGGUUCCUAUACCAAAGCAGAGUCCCGAUUGAUUUCGGAAGGGAGCGGGCGGAGUGAGUUAUUUUCCUCUGCCUUAGCUCCUGGCUCUGUGGGUGCCCGGUGCUUUCCUGAUUGCCCGUGUGGCGGUGAUGGUGGCGGUGGCCUAAACCACCACCAAUACCAUUACUGUCGCCAAAUCCUGUUCGCAGGGAGGCGCAAGCCGGGGACUUGCUUUAUGACUCGGGUGUUGUUGUGCGAGUAGUAGUCCGUUGCUGGCCUCCUGGAAACAGGGGGCCGAAGUGGACGACGACGAGCGCGACGCACUCGCUGUCGGCAAGUACCAUGAGCAUACAUGUUGGGACCCGAAAGAUGGUGAACUAUGCCUGGCCAGGAUGAAGCCAGAGGAAACUCUGGUGGAGGUCCGCAGCAAUUCUGACGUGCAAAUCGAUUGUCAGAGCUGGGUAUAGGGGCGAAAGACUAAUCGAACCAUCUAGUAGCUGGUUCCCUCCGAAGUUUCCCUCAGGAUAGCUGAUACUCUGGGAAAAGAAGGAUUUUCAUCUGGUAAAGCGAAUGAUUAGAGGUCUUGGGGACGAAACGUCCUCAACCUAUUCUCAAACUUUAAAUGGGUGAGACGCCGAGCUUGCUUAAAUGCUGAAGCUCUGGCGAUUAAUCUGAGUAUCUAGUGGGCCAAUUUUGGUAAGCAGAACUGGCGCUGUGGGAUGAACCAAACGUCGAGUUAAGGGGCCUAAAGGAAUGCUCAUCUAGACCCCAUGGAAAGGUGUUGGUUGCUAUAGACAGCAGGACGGUGGCCAUGGAAGUUGGAAUCCGCUAAGGAGUGUGUAACAACUCACCUGCCGAAGCAACUAGCCCUUAAAAUGGUAUGGCGCUCAAGCAUUCUCCCGAUACUCGACCGCCGGUGGCAUUACUGAUCAAGCUCUGUUGCUGUAACGGCGGCAGAGCCCAGAUCUCGAAGCCCCGGUGAGUAGGAGGGUCGCAGGGGUGAGCGUUGAAGGUAUCCGGCGUGAGCCGGGCUGGAGCCGCCCCUGGUGCAGAUCUUGGUGGUAGUAGCAAAUAGUCGAGAGAGACUUCCCUUGAAGGCCGAUGUGGAGAAGGGUUCCAUGUGAACAUCAGUUGAACAUGGGUUAGUCGGUCCUAAGCCCAAGGCUAACGCCUUAUCCCAUGCCUUAUGGGCAACGGCCAAGCGAGUCAAAGUGUUGCUGAGUGGUCAGCUUGACUCGAAUCGGUUUUUAGUGCAGUGUUGGGGCCUGACAAACCACACACUGCACUAGUUUGCCCGGGAGUUCGUUUGGCGAAAGGGAAUACGGUAAAUAUUCCGUAACCAGGCCUGGACCGCGCCAGAGUGCCGGCUGCUGACUUCCUCACGGGGGUUGCAGCUGGCCUCUGGGGUUGCAGGGUCCCGGCAACGGGAACCUACUCGCGUCCAUCGGCAGUGGUCCGGGAAAGAGUUUUCUUUUCUGUUUAAGGCGCCGUGACCCUGGAAACCACUCGCAGAGAGAAAGGGUACUGGUAACACGGUAUGCCGUAGAGCGCCGCGGGUCUUGCGGCGUCCCGCGUACCACUGCCGGUCCGUGAAACAUGCGAGCAUGGUAACUGCAUGGGGCUGAAGUCGGCUUAGUCGGUGAGACGCUGUCGCUGGCCACUACUGAAUGACUAACAACCCUCACGGGAAGUAGGUCGGACGGUUGUUGGUUUGGUGAUGGCCCUCUCGGUUAAUGUCGUCCACCCCAGUUUCAGGCCUGUCCGUACCCAUAUC
rnacentral:rRNA from 1 species